rnacentral:rRNA from 1 species
CCUACGGGUGGCAGCAGUGAGGAAUAUUGGUCAAUGGGCGCGAGCCUGAACCAGCCAAGUAGCGUGAAGGAUGACUGCCCUACGGGUUGUAAACUUCUUUUUUAAGGGAUUAACGUGAGGCCCGUGUGCCUUUUUGUAUGUACUUUCUGAAUAAGUAUCGGCUAACUCCUUGCCAGCAGCCGCGUUAAUACGGAGGAUCCGAGCGUUAUCCGGAUUUAUUGGGUUUAAAGGGAGCGUAGAUGGGUUGUUAAGUAAGUUGUGAAAGUUUGCGGAUCAACCGUAAAAUUGCAAUUGAUACUGGCAGCCUUGAGUACAGUUGAGGUAGGCGGAAUUCGUGGUGUAGCGGUGAAAUGCUUAGAUAUCACGAAGAACUCCGAUUGCGAAGGCAGCUUACUAAACUGCCACUGACAUUGAUGCUCGAAAGUGUGGGUAUCAAACAGGAUUAGAUACCCUAGUAGUC